GGAUGUGAAGGCAAUCUGGCUGCAACAUCUGUCACCCCAUUGAUUUCCAGGGUUGAUUUGGCUAACCUGGGUGGUUAGAUGUGUAUGUAUCCCUUUCCAUCCGCACUGCUCCUGUGCUUGUCUUUCUAAAGCUGUGUGCUCAAAGAGGACAACCUUCCCUGAUAGAGAACAACUGUUUUUCAGUCAAGUGUAUUUGAGCUGCUGUACUCCCCUCUAGAACCUCCAAAGAAGUUCUCAAGGUCAAACGUCACUUAAUAAUAAAGUCCUCUCUGAUCACCUUUGAAAUUCUAACCCCUUC
rnacentral:snRNA from 1 species